GCUUGGAUGCAUCUUUGUACUUGGCACAAUCCAUGAAACUUUCUGGUUUGAAACAAAGUUGUGGCAAUCCUCGGCCGCUUUUAGCUUUUAGCUGUGUAUCCGAUGGGAUGCAGACAAUAGAUGCACUCCUGACGUGCAAGGUGAAGAGAAAGAGAAAUGUGAUCGAUUCAGUGAAGGAAAUAAGCCAGCAUGCUGAACAAGGGUUAGUUGGUUUUCAUUAGAGGAUUGUCAGUCCCAACUUGUGUGACUAGAAAAGCAAA